GCUUUCCGCGUCGCACAGCGCACCCGCCCGGCUUGGAGAAUCACAGUGGUAACGCCUACUGCACGGGGAGGAACUGAGCAUGGUUUCAGUAGCUUAGCUGAUGCGUCUCCAGAAAACUCGAUGUGGCUCAGCAGCGAGCCCUCCAAACAAACAACAGACAGAACUGCCAGCAUUCUCUGUAAUGCCAAGACCUGCUGGGCAGCAUGUGUGGCCUUGGAGAGGGGAAAGAAUGCGGCUACCUGGGGCUGCAUCUUCUUUAUUUUCUAACUACUUUUCUCUGCCUUAUGUCAUUUACUUGUCAAUAUCAGAUCUCAAUGUAGAAUGCCUGAUAUUCUCAGUGUUUGAUUCUCAGCAAGUGCAUACUUCAUACCAGUCAAACGGCUUACAUAGAAAUGGAAUGUUUCAUGAUUGCUUGGAAGUCUCUAAACACCCCUUUCUUGGUCUAACUCUGACGCUGUGGCUGUGUGAUCUGUCUUCCUCUGGCUUCUACAUGAGUGGACAUGAACCCCUUUGGAACCUGUCACCCCUCUGAGAAUAGAAUGAGAGCUGUGGACUGUCCUGCCACAAUUCCACAGACUGGGUAAUACAUAAGGAAUAGAAGUUUUUUUGGCUCAUGUUUCUGGAGGCUGGGAAGUCCAAGAGCAUGGUGCCAGCAUCUGGUGAGGGCCUUCCCCUGGUGGAAGUGGGUGCAAGAGACAGAGAGAGGCUGGGUGCGGUUGCUCACGCCUCUAAUCCCAGCACUUUGGGAGGUCGAGGCAGGCAGAUCACCUGAGGUCAGGAGUUCAAGACAAGUCUGGCCAACAUGGCAAAACCCUGUCUCUACUAAAAAUACAAAAAUUACCCAGGCGUGUUGACACAUGCCUGUAGUCCUAGCUACUCAGGAGGCUGAGGCAGAAGAAUCGCUUGAACCUGGGAGGCAGAGGUUGCAGUGAGCUGAGAUUGCACUACUGCACUACUCCAGCCUGGGCAACAAUUGCAAAACUCCGUCUCAAAAAAAAAAUAAAGAGAGAGAGAGAGGAAUGGGAAUGAACUUAUCAGGAGCCACCUCCCUCGACAACGAAUCCACUCCCGACACAAAAGCAUAUUCCAUCCACAGGGGCAAAGCCUCAGGCCUAAUCUCAGAAAGGCCCCAACACGGUUACAAGAGCAACUCAGCUUCCAGCACGUGAACUCCGGGGCACUAGCAGACUCCGCGCUCAGAACAUUGGCACUUCUCAUUUGAACUCUAUCUUCACACACCCUGCGUGAACUGGGAAGCGCCCUCAGCAAAUAGACUCAUGUGGCUACACUAAGCUUGUUCACUUUGCCUCCCGCCUUGCAAGGGUUUUGCCCUUCCAGUUUCUGUCAGCUUCUGGGUGAUCUCUAGUGCCUUCAAACUGUUGUUUUAAUAUCUAAUACAGAAGCUAUCAUCGUUAUUAGCAGGAGAGUUCCUCCAGUACAGGCAACUCUGCCGUGGCCGAAAACAGAUUAUGCAAAACAAUUUCACCCUGUGGAUGUACAUGCAGAUUAUGGACUGAUACAUAAUCAAAAUCAGAAAUCUUUACAAAUUGAGGAAAAUGUUUUUUCCUACUAUUGUUAUAAAAUAGUUUGGGCCACUUCUACUUCCUAGUAUCCCUGGAUUACGUAACAGUAACAGCUGCGAUUCAGUUCCACAUUCUACAUGUAAGGAGCGAGGGGUGGGAGCCCAGCCUUCCUGCCUUGCAUCUCCCCUGUCCUUGUGCUUCAUCUCAGCAGCAUUACGUCAUACUUGCUAAUAAUUCACCUAAGAGUGACAAAAAUAAUUUUUAUAAGCAUGUCACAAAAAGGAAGGAAAAGUUUCUUUUCCCUGCUUUGAUAUUAGAACCAAAUGGAGCUCUGGAAGUUUUCAAUAAAAUGAAAAAUGAUUU
ensembl:lncRNA novel transcript, antisense to GTPBP4